CUGUACUCUACGAAUCAUCCCUAUCAGUUUGACAAAUCCUCUUGGUCAGUUAAUCAGAUAACCCCACUUCCGAUCUCCAGUGAGGUAACACUUCCCGCCACUUAAACAGCAUCUCUUUGUGUGAUCAUAUUUCACAAGGAGUGACCGCUACUACGUAUACGCGCGGAUGAUGCAGUCUUUUCAAAAGAUCAGCACACCCCUAUCUAAAGGAAGCUUAUUUCGUCGACAAAGUAUACAAUUAGUAAAAAGAAGUGCCUGCCUACGAGGAUUUCCAUAUAUUUUCAAGGAAAAGAUGUAUGUUUUGAAAAGUGUUGAAAGUGACAUGCAGGAGGACUAAGCAGGGAUGAAACUGAAGUACCAUGACGUCAUGACAAUUAUGGAUGAUGACUUUUGUGUUGAAAUAGAUGGGGAACAAAUCAUUCAGUGCAAUUCUUUAGUGGAUUUUUUUUUGCGGACUUGUCACCAUUAUAUAUGCUUUCAACUAAGGAUAUCCUAGGAAAUGGCCAAACAUUCCUCUUCAUUCAGAAAGUCAUCUUAGGACUAUAUGAUGAAUUCGAAGAACUGGACAGAAAGCUCUCAUCGGUGGUGUCCGAAAUAACUAGGGCGAUGGAUUAUGUUUUUUGGACUUUAUAAUAGGCAGAAUAACAUUUUAAAAGGGAUUCUAUGGCGUUAACAAUGCUCAUAUUCAUCUAGAAACUAGAUAACAGUCAGGAAACAGAAAACUUGAUCCUGAAAAGAGAUACAGGUGGUAAUUUUAUUUGAUCCUGAAGUCUCUACAGGUGGUAGGUUUCUGUGAAGGGCUGAGAUUAAUUAUUAAUGAUUGCCUUUUGCUAUUUUUAAUUAGCUGUAUAUCAAAAAUGAAAACAAGUCACAUUAUUGCAUACAUAAAAUCCUGUGUAGCUUGGAAAAUGAAUGACAUAUUAUUAUGUUAAAUUUUUAUGCUGCUAUGUGUCCCAAGAUGUUGAAAGAGUCACACCUUUGGAAUAAAGUUGAAUUAUCUACAUGCCAAAGAAAAUCACAUCUUUUUAUUAUUCAUAGUAAUUUGUAUAUAUUAUAACUAAGAGAUUUUUCAAGACAAACAUUUCAUGAUGAUGAAAUAUUUUCACUAGAUCAAUUAUUAAUUUAUCAGUUGCAACUUUCUUUUUUCGCCUGAUGUUUUACACAAGUGACAGACAUGACUUCGUCAAAAAGGUGAUCUCUCGUGGUUAAUAGUGUAAUAGUUAUUUGUCAAGGUACGAUUUCAAUAAUUUCAUAAGAAUCAGAACUUAUUUUACAUCAUUACUUCGUCAAAGUGAUAUCAUCACUUCGUCAAAGUGACAUACGUACUUCGU